rnacentral:rRNA from 1 species
UGGGGAAUCUUGCGCAAUGGGCGAAAGCCUGACGCAGCGACGCCGCGUGAGUGAUGAAGGCCUUCGGGUUGUAAAGCUCUGUGGGGAGAGAAGAAUAAGUGCGGGCUAAUACUCCGCAUGAUGACGGUAUCUCCUUAGCAAGCACCGGCUAACUCUGUGCCAGCAGCCGCGGUAAGACAGAGGGUGCAAACGUUGUUCGGAAUUACUGGGCGUAAAGCGAGUGUAGGCGGUUUGAUAAGUCGGAUGUGAAAGCCCCGGGCUCAACCCGGGAAGUGCACUCGAUACUGUCAAGCUAGAGUAUCGGAGAGGUUGGUGGAAUUCUCGGUGUAGAGGUGAAAUUCGUAGAUAUCGAGAGGAACACCGGUGGCGAAGGCGGCCAACUGGACGAAUACUGACGCUGAGACUCGAAAGCGUGGGGAGCAAACAG